rnacentral:rRNA from 1 species
GACAGAGGGUGCAAACGUUGCUCGGAAUCACUGGGCGUAAAGGGCGUGUAGGCGGAUAGAUAAGUCGGGCGUGAAAUCCCCAGGCUCAACCUGGGAACUGCACUCGAAACUGUUUAUCUUGAGUGCCGGAGAGGAAAGCGGAAUUCCUGGUGUAGAGGUGAAGUUCGUAGAUAUCAGGAGGAACACCAGUGGCGAAGGCGGCUUUCUGGACGGUAACUGACGCUGAGACGCGAAAGCGUGGGUAGCAAACAGG